rnacentral:ncRNA from 1 species
ACUCGACCAGUGAGCUAUGUGUCAGGCAGGCAGUUUGACUGGGGCGGUCGCCUCCUAAAAGGUAACGGAGGCGCCCAAAGGUUCCCUCAGAAUGGUUGGAAAUCAUUCGCAGAGUGUAAAGGCACAAGGGAGCUUGACUGCGAGACCUACAAGUCGAGCAGGGACGAAAGUCGACACGGAAGUUAAGCUUCUUAGCGCCGAUGGUAGUUGGGGGCUCUCC